AUCAAAAAAAACGUUGUAGUUGAAAUCUGUCAAAUAUUAGAAAAUAAAUAAAAUAAACAACUUCUGGUGAAAAAUUAUUAUGGAUGUAUGAUCAUUUGGAAGAAUUAUUUACAAGAAAGUUUUCAGGUUUGUAAUGGAUUUUGAAGCAGUUGCAGUGGGGUUAUUCUUUUACAUAAUUUGCGUUGCAUUGUUAAUACUCGUUAACGAAAUUUUUUGUAAAAGAGCUUGCUUGGACAAAGCUCGGCGAGUUGCUGACGGAGAGUACAACGAAAGUCUAUCUAAAAUACCUCCAAGAAUAAUGAAAUACACUUGCAUACCAAUUACAAAACCACCGAAAUGUUCUCCAGGAAGUAGAGAAAUAAAUUAUACAUUGGUUACUUAAAUAUAGCAACUUGACACUAGAUGGCGUUAGUAAUAUUCGAUAUAUCUUUAAUUUUAUGUUUUGUAUGUAAUAUA